AUUUGACUGGCACAGGAAGGGAAAUGCACGCAGAAGGAACUCGGAAGACUGCAAUAAUGAACGGACACAGAUCCCCUGGUGGGUGGCUACUCCAACCAGCCAGAACCUGAUUGGCAACUGUCACCCAGAAUAUCUUUUCACCGGCCGCCCCACAACUGUGAAAUGACCUGCCAGAAAAGCUCCAACAUCUAAACAGCUGUUGGAAUUUAAAAUGCAGUUGAAGACCAUUCUCUUCCAAUUAUAUCAACAGUCAGAGAUGUUGAAAACCCAGAAAGACAUCGGAACUACUGAAAGAGCUAAGAACAGUCAUUAGGCAUGGGAAAUUAAUCACUCACUAUCCCCAAUAGCAAUGCAACAUUACUAUACAUGCAUCUAUUUGUGAAUUAUCAAUCUUCAAUAGCUCUUUGCUUCCCUUAUAUAGCUUUUCACAUUUUUUUUUUGUUGAGAAUUCAAGUUUGGAUGGAAGUGGUAGUGGCUUUUUAAAAUGUUCUUAGAAAUGAAAGAUUUUGUGUACCUCUUUGCACUUCAUGACCCUUAUCCUUCCACAGGAACUGCUUGUUAAAAAAGGAAGAGAAGCUAACUUCUUUGAAACUUCAGUCACUAACAUACUGGGGUUGAACACUAAGCCAGUGUUUUCUAACCUAAAGUUGUUCUUCUCCAAAAAUUGCCAAGGACAACAGCAAGAAAUAGAACAAAAAGAAACAUAGAGAAAUCAGAACAGGCAGGCAAUAUUUCAAAUGAAAGUAAGUUAAGAAACAAGCAGAUCUCAACAUUUGUCAUUCUGUGAUGCUGCAUCCUCUGUUUGGAUAUCAGCCAGCAUGCCAAUGCCUUAAAUCAAGAAAUAGCUUCCCAAAAUCUACAGAGAUACUUUCAGGAAAUCCUCAGCAAGCAAUAGUCCAAAAGCGGCAGGUUAAAACACAGCACCUCAAUCAGUGGCUGAGACUGGAUGAGAAUUUCCCUCCUGGGCACACAGAAGUAUGGACAACCUGGAAGGUGCUGAACAGGCUGCACUCUGUCACCACAAGAAGCAGAGCUAACUUUAAGAAUGGGGCUACAAAGUGGAGUCUACGACAGGCAAGUGCAGAGAAGAGCAAACCACAGAGCACUUACUACAAUGCAACCUUAGCCCUGCCACAUGCACAAUGAAGGACCUUCUCACAGCAACACCAUAGGCACUCGAAGUGGCCAGCUUCUGGUCAAAGGACAUUUAGCAUAAUGUCUAGUUCUUUUUAAAACUUUGUUUAUGUUUUUAAAUCCAUUUCAACUGUAUUCUCAAUUUGCUUCUGGCACAAUAAAUAAAUAAAU